UUAUUUGCUCAGUGGCAGUAUCAUAGCCAAUGAGGUUUAUCUGAGGCAUGAUUAUCGCUAAUUGAAAAUUAUGGUUUUGGUAUUCUUAUCAGGUUAAGUUGUCUUUUUGAUUAUAAGACAUUGGAUAUCAAA
rnacentral:snRNA from 17 species